AUUGAACGCUGGCGGCAUGCCUUACACAUGCAAGUCGAACGGUAACGCGGGGCAACCUGGCGACGAGUGGCGAACGGGUGAGUAAUGCAUCGGAACGUGCCCAGUAGUGGGGGAUAGACCGGCGAAAGCCGGAUUAAUACCGCAUACGACCUAUGGGUCAAAGCGGGGGACCGUAAGGCCUCGCGAUAUUGGAGCGGCCGAUGUCAGAUUAGGUUGUUGGUGGGGUAAAGGCCUACCAAGCCGACGAUCUGUAGCUGGGCUGAGAGGACGACCAGCCACACUGGGACUGAGACACGGCCCAGACUCCUACGGGAGGCAGCAGUGGGGAAUUUUGGACAAUGGACGCAAGUCUGAUCCAGCCAUGCCGCGUGCGGGAAGAAGGCCUUCGGGUUGUAAACCGCUUUUGUCAGGGAAGAAAUCUUCUGAGUUAAUACCUCGGGAGGAUGACGGUACCUGAAGAAUAAGCACCGGCUAACUACAUGCCAGCCGCCGCGGUAAAAC
rnacentral:rRNA from 1 species